rnacentral:rRNA from 1 species
ACAAAAACAUGUCUCUUUGUUACAAGUAUAUAAGGAGUUUAACCUGCCCGGUGAUGAUAAUUUAACGGCCGCAGUACUUUGACUGUGCGAAGGUAGCAUAAUUAUUUGCCUUAUAAUUGAAGGCUUGUAUGAAUGGUUUGACGAAAAUAAGUCUGUCUUAAUUUAAUUUUUUAGAAUUUAACUUUUAAGUGAAGAGGCUUUUAUUUUAUUGAUAGACAAGAAGACCCUGUCGAGCUUAAAUUUUAUAAAUUAAUGUGUAUAUUUAUGUUUUUUAUGAAUUUUAGUUGGGGUGACUAAGGAAUUAAAAGAGUUUCCUUAAUAUAUUUUAAUAUUUGUUGAUUUUGAUCCAUAGGUGAUGAUAAUUAGAAUUAGUUACCGCAGGGAUAACAGCAUAAUCUUUUUUGAGAGUUCAUAUCGAAAAAAGGGUUUGUGACCUCGAUGUUGGAUUAAAAUAUCCUGAAGGUGCAGAAGUUUUUAAGGGUUAGUCUGUUCGACUAUUAAAAUUUUACAUGAGCUGAG